rnacentral:rRNA from 1 species
UGGGGAAUUUUGGACAAUGGGGGCAACCCUGAUCCAGCAAUGCCGCGUGUGUGAAGAAGGCCUUCGGGUUGUAAAGCACUUUUGUCCGGAAAGAAAACUUCGGGGCUAAUACCCCUGGAGGAUGACGGUACCGGAAGAAUAAGCACCGGCUAACUACGUGCCAGCAGCCGCGGUAAUACGUAGGGUGCGAGCGUUAAUCGGAAUUACUGGGCGUAAAGCGUGCGCAGGCGGUGCUGUAAGACCGAUGUGAAAUCCCCGGGCUUAACCUGGGAACUGCAUUGGGGACUGCAGCGCUUGAGUAUGGCAGAUGGGGGUGGCAUUCCACGUGUAGCAGUGAAAUGCGUAGAGAUGUGGAGGAACACCGAUGGCGAAGGCAGCCCCCUGGGCCAAUACUGACGCUCAUGCACGAAAGCGUGGGGAGCAAACAGG